ACAUGAAAGAUUGAAAGACCGAAAGAUUGAAAUAAACAAUAGUCCAGGACUACAAAAACACUUUUAUAGUUGUUGACAGUUCGUCGUUUUUUUUCUUUUUCAUUUGAUUACUCUCUCUCC
rnacentral:ribozyme from 1 species